rnacentral:lncRNA from 1 species
AUUGUCCCGCACGACAAUAUACCAUACAGCUAGCAGCAGACAGCAAGAACAUUUAUAUUAUUACUAGUUGGGUAUAGCCCGUGCAUAGCACGGGCCCAACAAUUAUACAUGAGUCCAAUAAUUUAAGUCUAUAAUUUUGGCCGACAGUCUAAUAAUUUGAGUUCUGAUAUAAUAUAAUUUUAACUGUGUAUGAACGCAUAUUUAUAUCUGAUUGCAACUAUGAAUAACAAUAAGUUAUUUAAAAUAAUCAUAUCACAAACAAAAAGACAGUUCCGUUCUCAGUAAAUAGUGAGACAUAGAAAACCAUAUUUACCUCCCCCAGGGGGCCGGCGUGUGUAGAACCGAGCAGAUAUUUCAUUUUGUUGUGCUUUUCUUUUAAAAUCAUUUACAAAACCAAAUCCAAGCAUAUGACUAAUUGUUCAUUUCCUACCUAUCAUUAUAUACCACAUGAUUAACCAAACGUAUUAUGUUGCUAUCAAAGCUAUACCACCUAUGAACAAUAGAAAUUAGGUAGUCAAGUUAAGAGCCAUAUAGAGUAUUGCAAGGAUUUGCACAUUGCAGGAAACAUCUGCUACUUUAUAUUCUUCCUGAUCUCCAUCAUGAGAGCUUGCUCCUAUUUUGAGAAAAGAAUAAGAUAUUAAAUAUUCUUAAUAGAAAAUAUUUACUACUACAAGUCCCACACCAAGAAUUUGAAAUAUAUCAUCAUACAAAAAUAAGCUAGAAAGAGAGAACAUAGACACAAGCCAAGUAUCUAUGCAAAUCAAUUACUCUAGAGUACUAUAUCCAAGUUCGGAGUCACACUAGCAAUGUGUUUAAAGCAAAGACGUCGUUACUACAAUCUACUUAUGCAUCAUAAAACUAAUGCAUUCUCAAAAGUGUAUGGGGUCCUCGGAUCCUUAAGAUUAUACUGGUUAACAAUUAUAAAAAAUUGAAGAAAUAUUAAUUCUUUUUUUUAUUAAUAAGCUAAUGCUAACAACUACAUAAAUAUGCUGAAAAUUUAAUGCAAACGAUCUCCAGAAAAGUUUGUCUAGAUUUACUUACCCUCAAACAAAAGAAAGAAGUAAGCGCAAUCACAUGAUUAGCAAAUGUCUAAAAAGUUCAUUAAAAUAUACAGUUGUGACGUAGGUUCAUUGAUACAAUUUUUAUCACCACUAAAAGAAUAAAAUAUGGACUGACAUGGCAUUUCUUUAUAUCAUCUCAGCAUUAUUUUAGAGUAGGUACUUGGCAAUAAACGUAUUUUAUUUACUCAUCAAGUUGUUGUUGCUCAUGACCCAAUACAUACCUCAGUCAUCAGACUUCUUUAAAAGGAUGACUUCCUUAAACUUCUCUUUGAUGAAUAAUCAGUCUAUAACAAAAUCAACAAAUAAAAAUAAUUUAGAUUUCACAAAAUACUGCGGAAGAUGUAAUCAAAUAAAAAAUGUCCUUCAAAAUAUAGUCAGCUCAAAAUAAUGCUUAAUCUUGACCCUUCUGAUUAGAAGUUAAUCAACAUGGAAUCUAAAUGCUUGAUAACCCAAGUAACAUCAAUAACUUUUUUGUGUUAUUCUGUCUGCAAGAGCACCACAUGUUUGAAACGGACUCAGUCCAGGUAAUAUAUUUUUCUUUCUCAAAUUUUUGGUUUGUCCUUGGCAUCAACAUGUUACACAUAUCCAAUUUACAAUGAUAUAUGAACAAAGAAAAUAACAAAGUUAUACCAUAUAACAGUUACCAAAUAACUCCACAUUAAUCAUGCUAAACCAUCCUUUCUCUGUUUGUACUCAACCUUAGUGCAUAAACUCACAUAACAAAAGUAUCUCAUGGAAAUAGUACAAUGGGGUAUAGAGUAAUUGUGUUGUAAUUCACAAAUAAAAUAUAAUUUCUCUGUCCCAAUUUAUGUGUUAUAUUUCUUUUGAGUUUAUCCCAAAAAGAAUAUCAUACUUCUUUAUUUAGAAAGAGUUUAACUUUAAAUCAAAGUACAAAAGCAAGCACACCCAACAAAUUACGUGCAGAGAUUUAGACCUUACCAUCAUAAAGAUAAACAUAAUACGUGGAGAACAACAUAUUGAGGGAUUAAAGAAACGGUACCAAGAUAGAUAAUUUAUAACCUUUCUGAAAGUGAUGGGGAAGGUGCGUCGAGUUUUUCAAUACCAUGGCAAGUAAAUAUUUUUCUAUCUUUUGAGUACAAACCUGUUUCAAUAAGUUAAAUUCAAAGUGAGAACAAAUCUUGAACAUUCUCUGCAAAGUCAGAAAUUGAAAAGAAGAUAGAUACAAGAGAAAUGAUAUUAAACGAUUGUCAUUAAACUCAUUUGUAAAAUGAGUUAGAUGAAUUAUGAUGGUUAGAGAAGAUAUGUGUUUUAAGUUUAACAUAAAGUUAAUGUAUUUUUCUAAUUCUUGUUCUGCUUCAGUAGUUAUUAAAUUUGAUAAAAUAUCAAAUGAGGACAAAGCAAUGUGGUAGAGUGAUCUUCCUAUAAUUAUUAAUCAAUGCAAAGUCUUCCCACAACACGAAAAAAAUGCAUUGUGUUUUUCGGUUCAUCUAAAUAAAUAGAGAAAAAAUGGGAUAAAUGAGAAGGUGUUAUCACCACCAUUAUAACAAAAAGGAAAGAAAGAUAGACUAUAGGCUAUAUUCAAUUUUUUUGAGAUAUGACUGAAUUUUGUGGCAGAGAUAUAAAGUUCUUCUAGAUUGUUCUUUCCGAUGAAAGAAGACGUGAUGUAAAUUACAAGUGAUUAAUUCCUCGAGAUGGAGAGACCAUAAGGAUAGAAAGUUCUUUGUCAAACAGAGUAUAUUGCUUUUGAACCCACAAACUGUGUAGCCAUGAUCUAUCAAAGCUCAAGCUUCAAAAAGGGAGAAUCUAGAAGUUUAAUGUAAAGUAAUUUCUUUCAAUAAAUUCAUCAAACACUUGUUGCACAAAACGUUUUACCUAAAAAUAUAACAAAACCCAAUUAAAACUAACUCAAGCUUCAGGUAGCAGAACCCACAUGCUCCAUAUUAAACUCAGUUCCAUUGGUAGUGUUUUUCUACCAAGAAGAGGCAGAAAGAAAAAGCAAGAAAACCAAAUGAAAAGAAACUUAAAUCAAAUUUAACUAAAAAUUUAACCCCGUCAGCUUAGACCACAAAUGAAAGCAGAAGUAUUAUAUUGAUAGAGUCUGCAUAUGAAGACAAAAACUAAACAUGAGAUACAAAGAAGAAACAAAAUGCACAAAAGAAAAUCCAAAAUAAAUAACAACAAACAAAGGAUAAUAACAGACAAAAAAUGAAACAAAAUAGAAGAAAGACUGAAACAGAAAAUAGCUCACACACUAACCCGAACCUUGUAAUAUCCAAAGUAGAAGACCCAUAAAUAUAGAUACUUCAAGCAAGAAGCUGAUAAAAUAGGAAGAAAUCCAUUAAAAAAAAGAGUAAUGAACAGAAGAUUGAAAAAGAGAGGAGGAUGAAUUGAAAAGAUGUGGAAGAAGAUUUAAGAAAAAAUUGUGGUAAAACCCAAAGCCGAGAAGAUGAAGGGAAAGCGAGAGAGUUAAGAAAGAAGAUGAAAGUGUGGACGGUUCUAGAAUAUGGAGGCAGCGUAUGAAAAAUAAAAUGACAGAGUAAAAUAAUAAUUCUACCCUUGGUCGACCAAGCACGGCUUUUCUAUAUAAUAUAAUAAAUAUAAUGUAUCAAAAGCCAACAAAGAUGCUAAAUAUCAUUCUGCAAAAAAAGAUUGGAUUAGACAUCACUUAGCAAAGGCAAUUAUGUACAAAGAGGAAUGUGUGGAAGAGAAGAGAAGUGAUUAUCAAAAGGAAGAUCUUACAAGCCACAAUACCCAUUUUAGGACCACAAAUACUUCUCUAUAAGUGGUUAUAGCUUUUCAUUUUCUAAAGAACCCAGACAAUUCUUUUCCCUACUGGCUACUGCAGCCUGGGAAUUAAAUGAAUGAUGUCUCCUUACGCGACAGAAUUAUGACAAGAUAAAAGUUAAUUCAUCCUUAUCCUAAGGACUAAUUAGUAUUCCAGUUUAGAUUAUACAUUUCCAUAAUUAAUUUGUGGGUGAAAAUGUUUGUUAGCUAGUAUCAGUAAGUGAUUUGAGAAUCGUCCACAUUGUUUUGGAACGUAAAAAGAU